rfam:Oryza brachyantha chromosome 11, whole genome shotgun sequence.
ACCAUAUGCAUCUGAGAUGGUCAACAUCAACGUUUGACCAUUCGUCGUAUUUGAAAUUUUUUUACGAUUAAUAUUUUUAUUGUUAAUGGAUGAUAAAAUAUGAAUAGUAUUUUAUACGUGACUAAUUUUUUAAAGUUUUUAUAAAUUUUUCAAAUAAGACGAAUGGUCAAACGUUCGACAUGAAAAAACGAAUAAUGAACGUACG